AUUGAACGCUGGCGGCAGGCCUAACACAUGCAAGUCGAGCGGAUGAAGGGAGCUUGCUCCUGGAUUCAGCGGCGGACGGGUGAGUAAUGCCUAGGAAUCUGCCUGGUCGUGGGGGCUAACGUCCGGAAACGGGCGCUAAUACCGCAUACGUCCUGAGGGAGAAAGUGGGGGAUCUUCGGACAUCACGCUAUCAGAUGAGCCUAGGUCGUAUUAGCUAGUUGGUGGGGUAAAGGCCUACCAAGGCGACGAUCCGUAACUGGUCUGAGAGGAUGAUCAGUCACACUGGAACUGAGACACGGUCCAGACUCCUACGGGAGGCAGCAGUGGGGAAUAUUGGACAAUGGGCGAAAGCCUGAUCCAGCCAUGCCGCGUGUGUGAAGAAGGUCUUCGGAUUGUAAAGCACUUUAAGUUGGGAGGAAGGACAGUAAGUUAAUACCUUGCUGUUUUGACGUUACCAACAGAAUAAGCACCGGCUAACUUCGUG
rnacentral:rRNA from 1 species